AGAGUUUGAUCCUGGCUCAGGAUUAACGCUGGUGGCGUGCUUAACACAUGCAAGUCGAACGAAUCUUGAAAAUGAAGCUUCGGUGGAUUUUUCUUCUGAUUAGUGGCAAACGGGUGAGUAAUAAAUAAGUAACCUGCCUUAAAGCUUGGGAUAACUUUUCGAAAGGGAAGCUAAUACCAAAUACACUUUUUAAUUCAUAAGAAUUUUAAAGGAAAGAUUUAUCACUUUAAGAGGGGCUUAUUUCUGAUUAGCUUGUUGGUGAGGUAAAAGCUUACCAAGGCUACGAUCAGUAGCUGGUCUGAGAGGACGAACAGCCACACUGGAACUGAGACACGGUCCAGACUCCUACGGGAGGCAGCAGUGAGGAAUAUUGCGCAAUGGGCGAAAGCCUGACGCAGCGACGCCACGUGAGCGAUGAAGUCUCUAGGGAUGUAAAGCUCUGUCAAGAGGAACGAUUAUGACGGUACCUCUAAAGGAAGCCCCGGCUAACUACGUGCCAGCAGCCGCGGUAAUACGUAGGGGGCAAGCGUUAUCCGGAUUUAUUGGGCAUAAAGAGCGCGUAGGCGGUACUUUAAGUCAGAUGUUAAAAGCUUCAGCUCAACUGAAGUUCGCAUUUGAAACUGAGGUACUAGAGUUUAGUAGAGGAAAGCGGAACUCACGGUGUAGCGGUGAAAUGCGUAGAUAUCGUGAGGAACACCAGUUGCGAAGGCGGCUUUCUGGACUAAUACUGACGCUGAGGUGCGAAAGCGUGGGGAGCGAACGGGAUUAGAUACCCCGGUAGUCCACGCCGUAAACGUUGUUCACUAGGUGUUGGAGGUAUCGACCCCUUCAGUGCCACAGAUAAUUCGUUAAGUGAACCGCCUGGGAAGUACGACCGCAAGGUUAAAACUCAAAGGAAUUGACGGGGGCCCGCACAAGCAGUGGAGCAUGUGGUUUAA
rnacentral:rRNA from 1 species